CACUAUUGAGGCAAAUACCAGAGGAAUGCUGAGGUUCAUACUCUGUGAUUAGGCAGAGACCUUAAUUUAUGCUUGCCUAUAUCCGAACUAUGCCUGCUACUCACAAGCGAGCCUACGAGCUUUUGUAUGGGGAGCAAAAGAGAAGCAGAUGCCAUCAAAGCGAUGUACUGACUUGAUUCAUUAAAACCAGCAGCUGCCACAAAGAGAGUUUCCUGCAAGACCACUAGUCAAACAGCAUCCUCUUUCAAGCAGGCUUGAUAGAAAGUGGAGAUAAAGCCUUGCUUUGAAUGUAUUGCUCUGACUCAGCUUCCUCUUGCCGAACCAUGGUGCGACUUUAAAAAUACCUGCUUUGGACCAGAAAAACUGCAACCAAAUCCAAGCAGCGACUCUGUAUAAAUGACUGAAGAUGUCGUCAUCACUUUCUCACCUCGCAUGUGCAUGUGAGCCAGGUGGGGCUGCAGGGACUCUGCGGCACGGCCGGAUCGGCUCUCUGUGGGGCGCUGGCCAGGCUGGGCUGCCUCUUGGCCCCUGACCUGCCGGCCGACCUGCCCAGGGCUGUUCUGCGCGAGCAACGCCUGGGGGGAGAAAGACCUCCAGCACUGGGCCCUUUGCAGCACCAGAACGGAGCUAUUGUGGAACGAGAGAGCGAGACCUGCUGCUGGUCUGCCGCUGCUGGGCCAGCUGGCUACAGCACCGAUGGUCACAAAUCUGAGACCAGAAGCCACAUGGAAACAUUCUCCAUUGAUCAUAUCUGCUGGAUUUCCUGUUGUUUUGCACCUCCAAGAGAUUCCUCAUAAAGCUGGACAUCUUUAUCAUCAGCCUGCUCUCCUCUCAGUCCUGAAAGGCACAGAGGUGGCCUGCAUGAACACAUGGCAAGAGGGAAGACCAGGUCUUGGGCCUCUGAAAUAUUAUUCUUGAACAGCCUCACAUCAGAAAAAUCACCUAGUAGUGCUUCCCACUGUGUCAAUCCACAGUCAAACAGUUCAUGGACUUGGACCGUACAUGUCCAAAAUAGUAAUACAACCAAAAUAAACCUGUACUUUUUACGAUCAAGAUAUUGCAUUGGCAACUGCAGCAGAAAAACAUAUCUAGAGAGAUUUUCAAUUCUCUUAGAGUUAAAAAAUUGAGAGAUAAAUGACUAGGGAAUCAUUUCUCUAAAUAUGAGUUUGAGUGAAUGAAAUGGGAAAGAAAUCAAAUGUUGAAAUACGAAUUCACAGAAAAAAGGGAAUAUACUUUCAUGAAAUUAAAAGUUGGACUUCACAACAUGCAAAGUCCACUCAGUUCCUCCUUUGAUGCUUCCCCAUCACUGUGUAGACCAGGGAGUUGUCUGCUCCCUGACAGGGUAGACCCCAAGCACUAACCUUUCCUAGCAGGCCUUGCACCUUUUCACAAACUCCAGUGACUCCACGCCAUGGACACUGAGGAAUCCCCCCUUCCACAUACCCAAUGAUCUCAGCUCUUAUUUUCAGCUAAACUAUUUCCUCGCUGCCAAGUCUGCCUUGUGCUACCUAUUGUGUCCCAAAAUAAAAGUUUUUUUCCUCCUGUUA